UCAAGUAUUCCUAAUAAAAUUAAAACCUUAAAAUCUCUCACUUUUCUUCACUUCUAGUUGCAUCCCGUUCGUGUCUUCACCUCUUUUGUCUCUGAUUUGUUUUUCUCCUCCGCUUCGCCGGUAAAUCUUCAUUAUCUCCUUUAAAAAAUUAAAAAAUAGAUCGGCGAUGAGAUCACGGUGAAACUUACAUGGGAAAUUGAGUUUUAGAGGUUCGAUGUUGAGAAGCUCUCCCAUGCUCACUUUUUGAGGAACGAAUUGAUUUGGUUUGAUUUCGAUAAAAUGGAUGAAAUGGAAAC
rnacentral:lncRNA from 1 species